CGCGUAGGCGGUGGGGUAAGCGUGUGGUGAAAGUCCGGGGCUCAACCCCGGAUCGGCCGUGCGAACUGCUUCACUUGAGCACUGUAGAGGCAGGUGGAAUUCCGGGUGUAGCGGUGGAAUGCGUAGAGAUCCGGAAGAACACCGGUGGCGAAGGCGGCCUGCUGGGCAGUGGCUGACGCUGAGGCGCGACAGCGUGGGGAGCAAACAG
rnacentral:rRNA from 1 species